GUCGGGUCUGUGUAAAUCGGUGGCCGGUUGUGGUGGGAAAGGUUCGGGCUGUGCCCUCUCCGAAUCUCACAGAUGGUGACUGAGGAAGAGGCUUGUUGAGGGAGGAUACCUGGAGUUAGACCUAAGGUCAGAGAUUUAUUGGAAGAAAAACCACAACUGGAAGCAAACCACGUCUGAAGAUGAGGGAACAGCAACAAGUGAACCAGCCCCAGGACUGAGAGCAUCAACUGGAGAGGACCUCUGACUCAGAGAAUCCAGUGAUUCAGUCAGGAGAAAGUUUGGCAAUGACUUGGCAGGUGGACAAGUUUUUCCUGAGAUGCAUUUGACAAUAAAGACAGAGGAACCAUGGAUGGAUUCAAACACAGAUUCCUCCUGUGGUGUAACUCAAGCAAUGGCUAAAAAGAUUGAUGUGCAGAAUGAGGUUGUUACCCAUGACUGUUCAACUCAGGAUUCAAGUUUUGAAGAUGUGUCAGAAAAUUUCUUACCUUCAUUGUUUGAACAAGAUUCUUGGAGUAAGUCUGACCAUGAAGAUUUGUCUCUGUCUCGGAAGGAGAUGAUAGCGGAGUAGAGACCCUGAGAUUAUCAAAUUAAAAGACCAAGCUUUUCCAGACAGUGAAAUUGAUAAGGUGCCAGUAAGAUAUUAUUUUGAGAAAGGAGUAUUGAUGACGAAGUGGAGAUCACCUACAAAUCCUGCAAGUGAUGAAUGGAAUAUUGUUCACCAGGUUGUAGUUCCUAAAGUUUAUCGAAAUGAGAUUUUAACUUUAGCCUAUAGUGUGCUCUUGGGUGGACACAAGGGGUAAGGAAAACUGUGGACAAGAUUUUUAAACAUUUUUACUGGCCUGGUUUGAGGAGAGAUGUGGCAACGUUUUGCAGAACGUGUCAUACUUGUCAAAUUGUGGUUAACCCUAAUCGAGUUACUCCAGUGGCUCCACUACAACCUAUUCCAGCAUUCGGUGAACCGUUUUCCAAAAUUAUUAUAGAUUGUGUAGGACCAUUACCAAAAACAAAAACUGGUUAUCAGUACUUGCUGACUAUCAUGUGCACAGUCUCUAGGUUUCCAGAGACAGUACCACCUAGGAAUAUAACAAUAAAAUGGUAAUAAAGGUUCUUAUAAAAUUCUUUACUUAUUUUGGGUUGCCUAAGGAAAUACAAUCUGAUCAAGGCAGUAAUUUUAUGUCUGGAUUGUUUCAACAGAUAGUUUAUAAAUUGGGAGCUAAGCAGAUUACCUCCUCUGCAUAUCAUCCAGAAUCUCAAGGUGUCUUGGAGAGGUAUCAUUCUACCCUCAAGACUAUGAUUAGAACGUAUUGUGUGGACAAUGGAAAUGAUUGGGAUGAGGGUAUAUAUUUACUUAUACUUGCAGUAAUGGAGUCGGUACAGGAGUCAUUAGGUUUCAGUCCAUUUGAACUUGUAUUUGGGUAUAGAGUCAAAGGACUUUUGCCUUUAUUAAAAGAAUAAUGGAUUAAUAAAGAGGUACAUACUGAUUUGUUGGACUAUGUUUUAAAAUUUAAAGACAAAUUACAUAAAGCUUGUAGCUGAGCCAGGGAAAAUUUAAAAUUGGCUCAGGAGAAAAUGAAAACCUCAUAUGAUAAAGAAGGUAGGAUGAGGACAUUUAAGCCUGGAGAUAAGGUGCUGGUUCUUUUCCCAGUACAAACAAAUCCUUUACGAGCUAAAUUUCAUGGUCCUUAUGAAAUUGUGUAUAAAAUUAAUGAUGUGGAUUACGUGAUAAAAUCUCCAGAAGACCAACUCAACUUUGCCAUGCAAAUAUGAUAAAACCAUAUUAUGAGAAACAGUCUGCUACCAUGACUGUUGUGGUUAAUAAUAAUGAGUCUGAUCUCACUAGGAACAUAAUGGAUGAUUCAUCUGAAACUCAUUAUAAACCAACAUUGUUUCAGUCAGGUUACCAAACUCAACCAUUCUGGAAAAUGUUCAUGAUAAAUUAGCUCAUUUACAGCCAGAGCAGAAGCAGCAAAUGAAGCCAUUUUUUUUUAAAUAUAAAGAUUUAUUUCCAGACAUUCCUUCAAGAACCACAAUAGCUUCAGAUGAUGUAGAUGUUGGAGAUGCCAAACCCAUAAAGCAACAUCCAUAAAGGAUGAAAAUGGAAAAAUGUGAACUUGCUGAGAAAGAAAUUAAAUAUAUGCUAGAGAAUAAUAUUAUUAGACCUUCUAACUCAAAUUGGAGUUCACCGUGUGUUAUAUUGCCUAAGUCAGACGGCAGUAUUCGGUUUUGUACAGACUACAGGAAGGUGAAUGCAGUAACAAAAACAGAUGCAUAUCCAAUUCCUCGAGUAGAUGAUUGUAUAGAUAAAGUGGGAAAAGCAAAGUUCCUUACAAAGAUUGAUUUAUUGAGAGGGUAUUGGUGUGUUCCAUUAACGGAUAAAGGUAGAGAGAUUUCUGCAUUUGUAACUCCAUCUGACUUAUAUGAAUAUAAAGUUCUUUCAGUUGGGAUGAAGAAUGCCCCAGGUAUUUUCCAGCAGAUGGUUAACUCUGUAAUUCAGGGAUUGAAAGAUACAGAUGCUUAUAUUGAUGAUUUAGUGACAGCAAAUGAUACUUGGGAAGCACACAUUACUGCGGUGGAGAAAUUAUUUGAAAGACUUUCAAAAGCUAACUUAACUAUUAACUUAGCUAAAAGUGAAUUUGGUAAUGCCACUGUAACUUACCUUAGUUACGUUGUAGGUCUGGGCUUGGUUAACGAAAAUGGUUAAGGAAAUACAUCAAACUCCAAUUUAGCAACAGAAGGUUUAAUGUUACAAGAGUACAAUAUUUUGAUGACUCAUAUUAAAGGCAAAGAUGAUGUGAUUGCUGACUGUCUAUCUUGAUGUUGAAUGUACAAUGUAAUUCUUUUAUGGAGUGAUAUUUUAACAUUUGGAACACUCCGAUUGUAUAGUAAGUUGUAAGAUGCUGUAUGAUAAUACUAUGUAUACUGUGUAUGUUGUAAAUUUUAUACAUUUGUAUUUUUUCUUUUGUAAAUAAUUAAUUGUUAAAAGUUUGUUCAGGACAGACCAAUUUUUUUGGAAGGUGUUAUGUACCCAUGGGUAUCUUCUGCCUGUCACAUGACCAUGGUGUAACUGAGGCUCUGCUGGGCAUGAUGUAAUGGUCUUGUGAUGGAGUGACAUAAUUUUCCCGCCAGUGAGAGGUCAUGUGAUAGUUUUUUUUCAACAGGGUAUAAAAGGAGAACCCCUCCCUGUGACGCAGGUCAGUUCAUGGUUGAAUUUGUAAGUGACUCCGUUCUGCUGUGUAUUUGAUGUUAUGAUGCGUUUUCACUUUAAAAAUGGAGUUUUAAUUUCUACUGUAAGAAUCGUCAUGCCGGCAGUUCUGAAAAUCACUGCCAGUUAAAGUCCGGUUGGAGAGGGAAGAGUUUAUUGAUGUAUAGAAUACCCGAAGGAUUGGAAAAAGUAGGUGUUGACAGUGAUAAAUAGGUUUGACCUUAAUUAAUCUUCAUUCAGAAGGGAGUUGGUAACCUGCGGUCCAAGGUAGCCCCUGCAAAAGAGCAGAAAGGGUUGGAGCAACGUUUCGCCAAGGAAAGGUUAAAAAUGGUAAGGAAUUUGUCCACGGGAAUCUCAAACACAACACACCAGUUUUGCUGUCUCUGUCCAGAUAGCUAAGAAGUGGAGCAAGGGAUUUGCUUGAUCAGCCUUCCUGCUCAGACUGUGGGGUGGGACUCACUCGAUCAUCUGACUGACUGGCAGCCUGGUCAUUUUACACAGGGGGGAGCCCAUUCAUCUGCUCAGACAGUGGGAAUGGAUUCAGUCGGUCAUCCCAACUGAGUUCACACUGGGACAAGGCCAUUCACCUGUUCUGUGUGUGAGGAGGGAUUCAGUCGGUCUUCCCACCUGUGGACACAUCAGUCAGUGCACACUGGGCAGAGGCUGGUCAUCUGCUGAAUUUGUGAGGAAGGAUCCACUCGGUCAUCUGACCUAAUGGCUCACUAGCAAGUUCACACCAGGGAGUGGCCAUUCACCUGCUCGACUGUGGGAAGGGAUUCACUUGGUCAUCUCAUCUACUGAGACACCAGACAGUUCACACUAGAGAGAGGCUAUUCACAUGUUCAGACUGUGGGAAGGGACUCACUCAGUCAUCCCCUCUAAUGGCACACUAGUCAAUUCACACUGGGGACAGGCCGUUCACCUGCUCGGACUGUCGGAAGGGAUUCACUCGCUCAUCUAAACUGAUAGCACACCAGCCAGUUCACACCAGGGAACAGCCAUUCACUUGCUGGGACUGUGGGAAGAGAUUCACUUGCUCAUCCUAACUGAAGGUACAUCGGCAAGUUUAUACUGGGAAAGGCCGAUCAACCUCUCAGUCUUUGGGAAGAGAUUGUCUCAGCCAUAUCAACUAAAUGUGCAUAAUUGAGUUCACACUGGGGAGAGGCCAUUCACCCACUGUGAAUGUGGGAAGCGAUUCACUCAGUCAUCUAGCCUUAUGUAACUCUCGCCCCGGCUAGCAGCUUAAUAUAGGGGGUGAUAGCCCCCUAGCCCAGCCAACCUUAAGAAAUCUUGUUUGGGUGGAUGCUGUGUGAUGUGUCCCCUGUUACAAGUCAGUACCCCGAAAUAACAAACAGUACACAGCAUGCAAUUAAAUGAUUGAUCUUUGACUAUAGGGUUAAUGAAGUUAGUAAAAAAUAUAGAAAAAGGACCCACUCUCUCUAUUCGCAUCUUCUCAUCUUUCCCCAGCAAAAGACCACGAAAAUCUCUCUUCCAGAAUCAAAAGAAAGAGCACUUCUCUCAUUGUAUAGCCCCUUAUUCCAAAACCUAAACAUUGCUGCUACAGAGAAAUCAUUACCUGAGCAGUGAAACAUUGCAGAGAGGGCAUUACAUUAGCGGUGAAACCUUACAGCAUGUUACACUUGUGACACACUACUGGGUUCACACUGGGGAGAAAGUUUCAAUAAGCUGAAUGUUGGAUAUUUGUCCAUAACGGUUGCUGAAUGCAAUUUUGAGAGUGACAAUGCGUGCUGAACUCUGCAAUUAUUGGUGCUGCUCAGCACACCCAGUUCUGCACCCUGGUCACUGGGCAUGGGAGGAGUUUCUUCUGCUGCACAUUCACCUUUAAUGGGACCGGACUUUAAUAUUCUGGAUUUGAGACAAAUAAAUCAGUUUUAUUUUAAACAUUGUCUCUGGUACUUAGGGAAUUUAUAACACACCUAGUGUACAGUAGAGAGUCAACUCAGGCCGGCUGGACCCUGGCAGUGAUUCUGUUCCACGGCAGUCCUUUUAAAUCCUCCUCUGUUGUUCCCCUCUCGCUCUCUCUGUGGUGAUGGGUUUCAAACAGUGUGGGUGAAGAGGUUUCCAUUGAAUUUUCCUCAGAAGUCGAGCUGACUGCAGUUCUGUCUGAGCUGUUCUUCGCCUCUCAAAUCUCUGGGCUGAGGAAGAAUGACAUUGGUAGUUAACCCCCUUAUUCACAGCUCAUUUCCACAUUAUGGGUUAUUUUCUCUGCUUCUAAAGGUUUCUUGAAAACACCACUGUCCUCUAAAGACUGAGCGCAGAAUGGGAAACCAUCAGUUGGAUUUUCAAUGAAGCAGGGUCAGAAACCAGAGGCAGGUCUACACAGGGCUGCGUUUGGGGCACUGAACGAUGGUCGGGGUAAUAAAGUAUGAUCAGAAGGAGGGAAUCAGCCAGCGGGUUGUGGCAACGAAUGACAGAGUAUCAACAUUUGGAAGCUGAUUGACAGAGAAAAUCUUUCAAUUGUCUGACUGACAACACAAACAAUACCUGUGGUGAGAUGCUCCACUGAUCGAGGAACCCGUGUGUGUUGGGAAUGGUUUUAUCUAUUGAGGGAGUUGUUCCUGCCUGUUUAUCCUGUAAUAUUAUAACCGGAUUGUUAUUAUGGAUUGUCCUAUCUGAAAUAAGGUAUUGAUUAUCAUAUAAUUCGUAAGAUUUUGACUCUAAAACUGGAUCAGUGUCGAAUGUUUUUUGUGCCUUUAUGAAGUGAUGGAGGGCAUUCAUGAGUUUCUAUUUUAAAGCAAGAUUUUGGUGAAUGAUAUCUGCCACUUGAUUGUACCUUGGGAAAUAAUCACAUUGAGUUAAACUGCUGCAGGAUCCUAGAAUGUUUUGGAUUGUCUCUGGUUUUUCUUGGCAUUAUUUGCAUUUACUGCCUUAUUAAUUUGUAUUUCAUGUAUUUUCAAUCUUCUUUUUUCGUUUUGUUAACCACCAUGUCCUGUAUUUCUGCAAGGAACCCCAUUGUUUCUGGGAAGAGGUCUCCAACUCUCAGUCAGGUGCUCGAUUUUUCCUUGUCACCAUCUCGUCUGCUCAGAUCAUUGGGAUGUCUCCCAUGGAGGGUCAUACUCAUCCCACUGGUUAAUGUUUUCUUCCAUAGUGUUGAUUCAUCUUUGAGUUGGCUUUCACUGAAGUAUUCUGGUCUGUAUUUCUUAUCACGAUUCCAUAUACACACAUGGAGUGUUGAAUCCUGUUCAUUUUUGUUGAAAAUAUAUACUAAAUCUAAGAGGGUCUGAGUGUAAAUUUCUCCUUUAUAAAGAUUUCUAAAGUUCUUAUUUAUCUUUGUAAAUUUUACUGAUUGAAAUGGGACCAUCAAGAUAUUUUUAUAUCAAUAAAAUCAUUGUUGGUAUUGAUGAAAGUAUUUUCU